CCCAGGCAUCCCGGCCCGCGGGCCCGGCCCUCCUCCCCUCCGGCUCGGGGCGCGAGGUCGUGAGCUCGAUUCCCCCUUGCCCACGCGGCACGUCUUUGAUCCCCCCUAACUCCUUGACUCCCCCUUCCCUGGUGAGGGGCUGCGGCGGGGGCGGGAGAGGGGUUGUUGAUGUGAUUGGAGCGGACACGGCUGUUUCUUCAAUAAUGGAUGGAGAUGAUGGAGGCAGCGGAGCCGGGAGCCAGGCCCGGAGAGGAGACGAAUAGAGACGGGGAGGAAGAGGGGGCGCCACACACACACACACACACACAACCGUCACUCUGUCACACGGACAUAGGCAGCGCGUCUCACACCCAGGCACACGCCCACGCACUGUCACUGAGACCCAAACACGCCCGGAACGCUCAGACACACGCGCUCCCACGCCGCCACGCCGAGCCACACAGACAAAAGCCUUCCUCACCCCCGUCCCCCGUCCCCGCGCGCGCGCGCACACGCACACGCGCACACACUCACACAGCUAGCCAGCCAGCCCCGCCGGCCCACAUCGCCAGGAGACCCCGCAGAGGGGGGCAGCCGGCCGGGAUCCCGGGGGAGCGCGGCCUCGUUAGCGGUCUAAUGAGGUCGUGGUGACAUGAGGUGCCUCCGGCUGUUGACUUAACCGCUUCCCGCAGCCCCGGCUUAGCCCCGGGUCCCUGGGGGUCCCGGAGGAGCGGAGCCACACGAGGAGCUUCCCCUUGGUCUCUGGCAGCGGCUUUGGGGCUUCCGCGUGGGCUCUGCCUGGCGUGGGCCUAGGGCUUGCCUCCUGAGCACGCAGGGCCGUAGCUGCUUCCCAAAUGUCCCCGCGCCCCUUCCGCACCCCCCACGAGGCAAGAUGCAGAUGGGGUUUAUGCAAAUGAGGAGCCUCCAGGGAGCUUGCGGGAAAGGCCCGUGGUCUCCGCCGGGAGGGGGAGGAGCAUGGCAAGCCCCGGGCAGCUCUGGCAGGGGCCAGGCUCCCUAACUAACUUUGCCGAGUCUCGCCGCUCCGUUUUCCUUAAGAGAGGGGUCCGGGGUGACGACCCUGGAGCCCAGCGAUGUCGCAGCUGGAAGCCAGCUUAGACUUUGUUUCCCGCAUCAAUUUGAUAACAAGGGCUCUGGGGAUCCCGGGUAGGCCUGGGAUUCGAACUCGGUUUCCUGACUCCUAAUUCCAAUGCUAGCCUAGGAGGGAGGGUGGGACUCGUCGGGCCCCGCUCGGUCCAGGGCCUUGAGGACCCAAUCUGCCCACCCUAGCCCCAGCCUGUUUUCAAUUCAGUCCGCUUUCUGGGCUAGACUUCUUGACCUUUGCCGGAGGCGGCAUCAUUCAUCAUAAAGUGGGAGGUCUGGGCCUCACUAGAGGCGCUCCUCUCCGUGCCCCUUCGGGGGCCCCAGGCCCUCGGGACGUGGGAGGGGGCGCCGCCCCGCAAGAAGAAUUGGGUAGCGGUUCGGAGUCAAUGGACCGUUGAAACAGGACUCCCUUUGGGUCUGCUCUGACUCCCACAAAGGCUUCACCGCAGAGAUAGCAGCAGGCCCAGGAGCUGGUGUGGAGGAGGGGGCCGGGGUUGGGAGAAGCAGUGACCGGCCGCUGUCAUUUCCACUUCCCACGCCUUCUCCCAGAUGACCGAAAUGGAGCAUCCUCUGGGCCUCUCCGCAGUGGGAAACUGGCCUGGGGCACUUCGUCGCGGGAGGCCAGCCUUCUCCGAGGUCCCUCUAGCCUCAUCCGGACAGUCUAACGGGACGGGAAGGGAAGGGAAGGGGGUAGGGCGGAGCCUUUCUCAAGACGUUUGCCCUUUGGGCUCCCUCCAGUGGGGGCCCGGUUCGGUGCAGAGGCCUCUGGGAGCCAGGCCCCCAGACUCCACUGGCGACACCCUGGUCCUCUCCUCACUUUCAUUCAUGGCUGGGGAGGAGCUCCCCAAACAUGUCCCAGGAUCCCCUCCUCCAGCCCAGCUGAGCUUCCUCCUUCCCCGACUUCCUCACCACCAGCAGCAGAUGGUGCCGAGGCUCCGGCUGCCAACCUUGCCAAGCAAUGCCAACCUCAGGCCUAACAGACUGGACAGAAAAGGCAAGAAGUGGCAGGCAGACCCCCCCCACCUCUUUUUUCCUAGGCCUGAGACCCCUCCCCAGUACUCUGAAGUCUACCUCAUUCUCCAGCAUCCCUAGCCCCAAAUUAAAUUCCUGGCCCCCCUCAUUCUCUCCUUACCUUUCCAGUCCCUGCCACCUGCCGCUGUGACCCGGCCUGGCGUAUUUGCAUAUUUGCAUAUGCAAAGAAUAACAUUUGCAUACAGCACUCGGCGGGAGGAGGACCCGCGUGGGCACACAAUACACAGACACAAUCCAGGAAGGUUUUGGGGUGAGGACCAGGAGAGACCUCCCCCCCUUCCGCCCUUCAACUGCCCCUGGCCAAGCUCUGUUCUUCCCUCUGGGCGCAUCAGAGCGGUUGCUAUGGAAACAGCACGCACCCCCGCCCCUUCUGCACACACUUUCACAUCCACCCGGGGUCUCAGUACAGUACGCCUCGCUCUCCAUUCCCCCCCCCCCCACCAGAUCUUCUACCUCCCCCCGGGCAGCCUCUCCCGGGUAAGGUGCGGGGCAGCCACCACGUAAGGACCAGAGAUGGGCAGCCCUCCCACGGCCGAGCCAAGCUGAAGGCGCCAGGGCACAGCCCCAAAGGCUUUCCAUUUACGCUGCCAGGUCAACUUGGGAAAACGGUUUUUAAUCGAUUCUUGGUUUUACACUCCAUGUCAGAAGAGCCUUCUUUCUCCCUCCCAGCCCCCCACCAUGGCUGAAAAAGAGGGGCGCCCCUCAUCUCCCCGGCUUUCCGUGGGGCUUCUCUUGGGAGCCCAGCCCCACAGGAGGCCCUCCUGCCUCUCCCCCACAUCGUGGCCAGGGCAAGCUGGGGGAAUGAGCGCCUGCUGGGGAGGGAGUUGAAGGGGGGAACCAGCCCCCGCUAGAAGAGCCCCGCGGCGCUGGAAGGGAGCUGCCCCCGGUGCAGCCUGGGAGCAUCUUGGACCGCAGGGACUGUUCGGCUUUCCUUUUUAUCGUCCCAGUGCCUGGUACAGAGGCGGGGCACGGGAGGAGAUGCAGGGAAACUGCUGAAGCCCCGCCCCCUAGAUUUCCUCCAGGAAGUCAGUGGGAAAGAGCCCCACCUUCCGCCCCGUGUAGACUUUCACGUAGCCGCCAGCUUCGUCCCCUUUCUGCACCACAAUCUGGAGAAGACAGAACGGGAUUAGGGAGACCGGGAUAGGGGGAGGGGGUGCGGGGAGGGGGCCCAAACUGGAAUUCGGGCGCCAGGGCUGGAGGGAGGGUCACCUGGUCCUUCUUGAGCGUUAUCUGCCCAAUCUCUCGGUUUCCCACAAAGGAUCUGGUCACUCGGUGUACCCGCUCACCAGCCUUGACUCGGAUGAUGAAGUUUUGGGGGAAAAAUCCCACUUUCUCCCCAAUCUUGCCCUGAGGGAAAGAAGAAGCAGAACUGGGAGGGGGUGGAGGUGGGGCCCAAAGCUGGAGAGGGGGAGAGAUGGGAGUAUCCCCAGGUCCACCCCCCGCCCCCCUCUCACCCGCCACCACUCCUCAUUGGAGUCAUCGAUGACUGUGAUCUUCUCUCCAGGUCUAGAAUAGACCAGAAAAGCCUGUAAGCCAAGGGGCUCUGCUGCUUCCAAUGGCACCCUCAUGACACCCUAUUCCAACCUCCAUCCCAGGCUGAUGAGGGCACCCCCCACCCCCUGCACAGAAAUGUGCAGUUUUCUCUCUCCCCUCCUUUGCCCUCACGGGAAGUCCAGAUCAUCCUUUUCCAAAGCCUUGAACCGAUAGAGGGCCACAAAGUAGUGAGACUGCUGGAAGCCGGGCUGCUUGUUCUAUGGAGGAGAGGACAAAAGGCUGUAAAGUAUUUUCAUCCCUCAGCUCCAAACCAGGGCUCGACCCCGCAGCAGCAGCCUCCAGAGUCUGGGGGUUGUGGGUGCCAGGGAGAAAGGGCAGGACUGAAGUGGCGAGAUGAGGGCAAAAGGGGGGCCAAGUUGGGACAAGAGCAGACCCGGCUAAGGAGGGACAGAGAAAGAUCCUUACUUUAUCUUCGGCUGUCUUUCUGUCAGUCUUCUUGUCUCCCCCGGGAUUUCCUGAAGCCGGACACAGACAUCUUGAAUACAGGAGAGCCUGGCCCUUUCAAUCUGGUGCCAACCCCAAUAUUUCUUCCCAUUCUGCCCCCACAGCCCGGUCCCCAGUGUUGGACCCCCCUCCCUCAGUGCCGUCCUUACAGAAGGGGCAGGGGCUUACUCACUGGCCUGGGGUUUUCCUUCCUCCGGUUUGGGGGCUUCUGGCUCCUCCUCCAUCAUGGCCGCUAGGGGCUAAAGGAAGAGAGCCCCAGAGUGAAGGAGUGAGUGAGGGGGGGCACGACCCUUACCUUUGUCCAGGACCUUGAAUGAUAUUCCCAGUCUGUGGGGUUCCCCAUAGUGAGGCCAUGUUGGGAGCGCAGCCCAUUCUGACAGGGCUGGAAAUUUUCCUCGAAUCUCCCUCUGCCUGUUGCCUCUCGGACCAGAAUGGUCUCCCAGGCCAUCUCCUGGGUCAUCUUCCCAGGGGGCUCUGGCACCCGUCAUUAAGCGUGUAAUGAACUGGCAGUGCUAUGGCUGCAGGUGCUGCUCCCCAAACUGUCUUCAUUCUUUACCCUGGGAGCUCCCCUCCCACCUCCUCGGCCCUCGAGAAAGGGUGACUGCCCUCCGCCUGUUGUCUCCCAGACCAGAAUGUAGGUGCCUUGGGGGCAGGGACUGUCCCAAUUUUGUAUCUGUAUCCUGGGACAUGGCUGGCACGCAGUAAACACUGGAACGCUUUUCAUUCA